AACAUUUUAUUCUCUUUACAUUAAUCCAUCCACAAAACGACAAGCAUUCGUUUGUGUUGAAGAUACCAAUCUCAAAAGACCUAUUUAUUCUCACAGUCACUGCAUUCUCACCUUCUCUCUCCCACGAACCUGACAAUGCAUAUCACUUUUCCCCCCUCAUUCGUCUGAAACAUCACAUUCAUGACAAAAGGAAGCCACCACC
rnacentral:lncRNA from 1 species